rnacentral:rRNA from 1 species
GAACCGUACAAACGUUAUUCGGAAUCACUGGGCUUAAAGGGUACGUAGGCGGGCGAGGAAAGUUGGAUGUGAAAUCCCUCGGGCUCAACCGAGGAACUGCGUCCAAAACUUCUUUGCUUGAGGGAGACAGAGGUGAGCGGAACUCAGGGUGGAGCGGUGAAAUGCGUUGAUAUCCUGGGAACACCGGUGGCGAAGGCGGCUCACUGGGUCUCUUCUGACGCUGAGGUACGAAAGCUAGGGUAGCGAACGGGAUUAGAUACCCCGGUAGUCCUAGCUGUAAACGAUGAGCACUGGGUAGGAGAUCCUUCCACAGGUUUCCUGCCGUAGCGAAAGUGUUAAGUGCUCCGCCUGGGGAGUAUGGUCGCAAGGCUG